AUAACGUAGCGAAAGUUACGCUAAUACCGCAUAUUCCUGUGAGCAGGAAAGCAGGGGAUCGCAAGACCUUGCGCUGAUUGAGCGGCCGAUAUCAGAUUAGCUAGUUGGUGAGGUAAAGGCUCACCAAGGCGACGAUCUGUAGCGGGUCUGAGAGGAUGAUCCGCCACACUGGAACUGAGACACCGGUCCAGACUCCUACGGGAGGCAGCAGUGGGGAAUUUUGGACAAUGGGCGCAAGCCUGAUCCAGCCAUGCCGCGUGAGUGAAGAAGGCCUUCGGGUUGUAAAGCUCUUUCCAGCCGGGAAGAAAACGCAUGGGUUAAUACCCUGUGUGGAUGACGGUACCAGAAUAAGAAGCACCGGCUAACUACGUG
rnacentral:rRNA from 1 species